rnacentral:rRNA from 1 species
CCGGCGCGGGUGAGUAACACGUAUCCAACCUGCCGUCUACUCUUGGACAGCCUUCUGAAAGGAAGAUUAAUACAAGAUGGCAUCAUGAGUUCACAUGUUCACAUGAUUAAAGGUAUUCCGGUAGACGAUGGGGAUGCGUUCCAUUAGAUAGUAGGCGGGGUAACGGCCCACCUAGUCUUCGAUGGAUAGGGGUUCUGAGAGGAAGGUCCCCCACAUUGGAACUGAGACACGGUCCAA